AACGAACGCUGGCGGUAUGCUUAACACAUGCAAGUCGAACGAACAAAAUUGGGGCUUGCUCCAAUUUUAGUGAGUGGCAAACGGGUGAGUAACACGUGGGAAUCUACCUAUCAGUACGGAAUAACAUUUGGAAACAGAUGCUAAUACCGUAUAUUCUCCAAGGAGGAAAGAUUUAUCGCUGAUAGAUGAGCCCGCGUAAGAUUAGGUAGUUGGUAGGGUAAUGGCCUACCAAGCCGACGAUCUUUAGCUGGUCUGAGAGGAUGAUCAGCCACACUGGGACUGAGACACGGCCCAGACUCCUACGGGAGGCAGCAGUGGGGAAUAUUGGACAAUGGGCGAAAGCCUGAUCCAGCAAUACCGCGUGAAUGAUGAAGGCCUUAGGGUUGUAAAGUUCUUUUAGUUGGAAAGAUAGUGACGGUACCAACAGAAAAAGCCCCGGCUAACUCCGUGCCAGCCGCCGCUGUAA
rnacentral:rRNA from 1 species